rnacentral:rRNA from 1 species
UACGUAGGGUGCAAGCGUUGUCCGGAAUUAUUGGGCGUAAAGAGCUCGUAGGCGGUUUGUCGCGUUCUGCUGUGAAAACUCGGGGCUCAACUCCGAGCUUGCAGUGGGUACGGGCAGACUAGAGUGCGGUAGGGAGACUGGAAUUCUGGUGCAGCGGUGGAAUGCGCAGAUAUCAGGAGGAACACCGGUGGCGAAGGCGGGU